UAAGGAAUAUUGGUCAAUGGACGCAAGUCUGAACCAGCCAUGCAGCGUGAAGGAUGAAGGUCCUCUGGAUUGUAAACUUCUUUUAUCUGGGACGAAAACGGGAUUCUUCGGCACUUGACGGUACCAUAGGAAUAAGCACCGGCUAACUCCGUGCCAGCAGCCGCGGUAAUACGGAGGGUGCAAGCGUUAUCCGGAUUCACUGGGUUUAAAGGGUGCGUGGGCGGGCAGGUAAGUCAGUGGUGAAAUCUUCCGGCUUAACCGGAAAACUGCCGUUGAUACUAUUUGUCUUGAAUAUUGCGGAGGUAAGCGGAAUAUGUCAUGUAGCGGUGAAAUGCAUAGAUAUGACAUGGAACACCAAUUGCGAAGGCAGCUUACUACACAAUGAUUGACGCUGAUGCACGAAAGCGUGGGGAGCGAACA
rnacentral:rRNA from 1 species